ACCGCUCCUCUCUUGCAUCUCCAUCUUUCCCCUUUCAAUAGCCAUUGUACCACCACUUUUCUAUUCUCGUGUCAUUAUCUCUUCGUCCCUCGAUCCCCUCCAUCUAUUGCCGUCGCCAAUCCUCUCUCCAUCUCCAUCUCCCCCCCCCCAAGAUCGCCGCUGCCACUCGUCUAUCACAUCUCCAUCUACGCUCCAUCCGACUACCGCCGCCCCUCCUCUCUCACAUCUCCAUCUCCAUCCUUCCGCCCACCGCCGCCAUGGGUCGUACGCCUCGUGCCAUGCUACCAAUUGAAACGGAGAGGAACACAGAUCUAACCUAAUCCUUUAGUUGAUUAUCCGCCGCCAUCUAUCUCUACCGGUCGUCGCCACCUUCCUUGUCUUUGAUGCUAUCAUGGGUGGAUCUAUGUCAAUCCACCGCCGUGAGAGACACCGAAGCCAGUUAGCAGUUGAGAAGCGAUGACGGAGCCUAGGCGGUCACCUGACCUACCCGAGAGGUGGCUCCACCACUGGCUGCUACUUUUGAACCCUAAAGAUCCCAGAGGGGAUGGCCGAUGGUGAAGUAGGCAUGAUAGCCCUCUAAAUUUAGGAGUACAGCCGAGAGUUAUAAAUGAGGUGCCAACUGCCAAGUAUGAUGGUGUCUUCACAUGGAACGGCAAUUUGGUAAGUUACAUCUGACGCCUUGCUUGCUUACCAUUUCUCAUAUUAUAAUUUUCUCGUGAUUAUAUGCUGAAAGAAUAAGGUCAUUUAACCAACAAUAUAAGCUACAAUCAUAUCAUGAUUAAUUAUGAUGUGCAUAUAUCAUUAUCAUCUGAUGGAACAAAAUUAUUUUCCAUAAUUUGGGAACAGUGGUCAAUCCAUUAACUCCAAAUUAAAUUUCCUAACAAACGCAAAGUAAAUCAUAAAAGAAAAACGGGCAACAUAUACAGUUUGUUACACCAUUCUCUGCCUAUGACAUCAAUAUUUCUACUAGCAAAAAAUUGCAAAAUAAUCAGCACACUCGACAGCUCUUUCGGCAAGAGCCAUAGUAGUCUGAGCUUCCUAUCAUAAACACCGGAUUCCUGUCACACUCACCACUAGCAGCCCAACUCACACACCUAUCAUCUUCAUCUGUGCACUCAUCCUCGGAUGCAAGUGAUGAUUUUGGAUAAUCAAAUUUUCUCAAAUUUAUAUGUUUUAUGGCUAGCCAUUUCUCUCCUUCGAGGACAGGACAUUCUUCAUAUUGGCUAUCCUUAUCUGUUUCUCCAUCAGGCCUUAAAUUGAACAGCAGUAUUGCAUUGCCCUUGGCUGGUCGCACUGCAUAACCAGAACAUUGAGAUGGUGCCCCCUCCUUAGCUUGAGCAUCCU